rnacentral:tRNA from 1 species
ACCUGGCUGGCUCAGCAGGAAGAGUAUAAGACUCUCAAUCUCAAGGUUGUGAGUUCAAUCCCCACAUUGAGUG